GUCCAGACUCCUACGGGAGGCAGCAGUGGGGAAUAUUGCACAAUGGGGGAAACCCUGAUGCAGCAACGCCGCGUGGGUGAAGGAGCGUUUCGGCGCGUAAAGCCCUGUCAGCGGGGAAGAAGAAAGACGGUACCCGACCAAGAAGCCCCGGCUAACUACGUGCCAGCAGCCGCGGUAAUACGUAGGUGGCAAGCGUUAUCCGGAUUUACUGGGUGUAAAGGGCGUGUAGGCGGGACUGCAAGUCAGAUGUGAAAAUUAUGGGCUCAACCCAUAACCUGCAUUUGAAACUGUAGUUCUUGAGUGAUGGAGAGGCAGGCGGAAUUCCGUGUGUAGCGGUGAAAUGCGUAGAUAUACGGAGGAACACCAGUGGCGAAGGCGGCCUGCUGGACAUUAACUGACGCUGAGGCGCGAAAGCGUGGGGAGCAAACAGGAUUAGAUACCCCUGUAA
rnacentral:rRNA from 1 species